rnacentral:rRNA from 1 species
GACGUAGGUGGCGAACGUUAUCCGGAAUUAUUGGGCGUAAAGGGUGCGUAGAUGGCUUGAUAAGUUAGCAGUGGGAAAUCGAGGCUCAACCUCGUGGAAGCUGGUAAUACUGUCAGGCUUGAGUGCAGGAGAGGUUAACGGAACUCCAUGUGGAGCGGUAAAAUGUGUAGAUAUAUGGAAGAACACCAAUAGCGGCGAAGGCAGUUAACUAUUCUGUUACUGACAUUGAGGCACGAAAGCGUGGGGAGCAAAACGG